UGGAUAUUUUCUUUGUAGUUGGUAUGGUGGGUAUAUAUUGGUAAAAUCCAAGCUCAAAACACUGGAUAGUUGUCAAACAUAUACUCAAAUACUUAGGAGAAUGAAGGAUUAUAUGUUUGUGUUCCAAAAUGACGAGUUAGUACCUAAAUGGUACAUAAAUUCAGACUUUUAGUCUAAUAAGGAUUCUCGUCAGUCUCUA
rnacentral:lncRNA from 1 species